CAGGCCAAUACCCUUGAUGAACAUCAAUGCAAAAAUCCUCAACAAAAUACUGGCAAACCAAAUCCAGCAGCACAUCAAAAAGUUAAUCCAUCAUGAUCAAGUAUGCUUCAUCCCCAGGAUGCAAGGUUGCCUCAACAUACACAUAUCAAUUAAUCUGAUUCAUCACAUAAACAAAACUAAAGAUAAAAACCAUGUGGUUAUCUCAAUAUAUGCAGAAAAGGCUUUCAAUAAAAUUCAAUGCCUCUCCAUAUUAAAAACUCUAAAAAAUCUGGGUAUUGAGGAAACAUAGCUCAAAAUGAUGAGCUGUUUUUGUACCAGUAUCAUGCUGUUUUGGUUACUGUAGCCCUGUAGUAUAGUUUGAAGUUGGGUAACAUGAUGCCUCCAGCUUCGUUCUUUUUGCUGAGGAUUGCUUGGCUAUUAGGGCUCUUUUUUUUUUUGGUUCCAUAUGAAUUUUGAAAUAGUUUGCUCUAGUUCUGUGAGGAAUGCCAUUGGUAAUUUAAUAGGGAUAACUUGCAUCUGUAAAUUACUUUGGGCAGUAUAGCCAUUUUAAUGAUGUUAAUUCUUCCUAUCCAUGAGCAUGAAAUGUUUUUCCAUUUGUUUGUGUCUUCUCUGAUUUCUUUGAACAGUGUUUUGUAAUUCUCCUAGAGAUCUCUUAGAGAUCUUUCACCUCCCUGGUUAGCUGUAUUCCUAGGUAUCUUAUUUUUUCUGUGUGUAGCAAUUAUGAAUGGGAUUGUGUUCUUCAUUUGACUCUCUGCUUUACUUGAUGUAUAGGACUGCUAGGAAUUUUUGCACAUUGAUUUUGUAUGCUAAGACUUUGCUAAAGUUUAUCAGCAGAAGGAGCUUUGGGGCUAAGACUAUGGGGUUUUCUAGAUAUAGAAUCAUGUCAUCUGUAAACAGAGACAGUUUGACUUCCUGUCUAUUCCUCUCUUCCCUCCUCUGUUUGGAUGCCCUUCCAGUUUUGCACAUUCAGUGUAAUGUUGGCUGUGGGUUUGUCAUGGCUAGCUCUCAUCAUUUUGGCACUUCCGACUAGAAGUGCAAGAGGGGCCAGUGUUGUUGUUACCUGAAAGGUAAGUGCAGCCCACAAAAAUGCAGUGAAGAAGAAGAUAUAUGCAUAUGUUUAAGUUAAUACAAUUGAGAUACAUUUAGCAGACAGAAUCAAUAGAGUUGAUGAGUGACUGACUGGAUGUGUGGGGAGUUUAUAUCACUCCCAGGUUUUUGACUUGGGCAACUGGGCACUCAUGAAGGAAAAAGAGGAUCCAGGGAGAGGAACUUUUCUGAGGACUGGGGUAGGGCUGAACAGCUGCAUUCGAGACUGAUGGAGGGUGGGCUGGGCAUGGGAUGCACAAAUGGAGAUUCCACUGGGUCUGCAGCUCACACAUAGGCAUGACCAGCAUAGAGAUAGAGAGGCCCCAGUGCUGCUGAGUAACUGUGAUUCCCCAGGUGAUGGCAUCAGCUGAGAAGGGAAGGAAGCCUAUGUGAGGACACUGAAGAAGGAGUGAGCAGACAAUAAGAAGCCCACAGAAGACAGAGAAGGAACAACUAGAGGGAGAAGCCAAGGCAGGCAUGUGUGGUAACAUAUAGGAACUGAGGGAGAGGACAUUUCAAGAUGGAGAGGAUGCCAUACAACAGGACUAUGUGAUGGUUUUUGGCUGUGUCCAUAGGAAGUCACAACAGGCAAGGGAAAGAAACCAGAACCCAGUCAUGGAGUUAAGAAGUGAGUCAGAGAGGAGAUGGGUAGGGACAGUGAGGUAAGGCCUCUUUUUAAGGAAGUUUGGCUGAAGGAUAGACUAGCUGGACACAUGCUGGCUGUGUGGGGUAGAGGGAGGAAUGAUGGAGGGUAGGAGAGCCUUGAGCCUGCGAGAAGAGUCUCCUAGAAUAGAGAAGCUGAGGUUAAAGUUGUGGAAGACAGUGGGGAUAACUGAGUGACAGAUAAUCAGGAGAAGAAAAGGAGAUCCAGAAUCAUGACAGAGAGAUGACCUUUGCCAAGAGCACAGCCAUCUUUCACUGUCACAGAGAGGUAGGACAAAACGAUUGGUGUUCAAGAAUUGGUUUGUAGCACAAUAUUUCAACUAUGUCCUUUAAAAAGUUUCUCCACAGACACUACCCAAAGCAGUCCUUCACUACAGUGGCAGACAGACCUGAAAAUUUUCAUCUGAAGCAGCAGAGUGAACUGCAGAGUCAGAGAUAGAAUCUCACUAUGUUGACCAGGCUGGUCUUGAACUCUUGGCACCCAAGCGAUCCUUUUGCCUGGAAUCCCAAAGUGUCAGAUUUACUGAAGAAUAUUUCAUUGUAAUUACUUUUUAUACUUUAUAGGUCAAGAGCUCUGUUUUAAAGACAAAAUUUAUUGAAUAUACUUUUUCAAACAAA
rnacentral:lncRNA from 1 species